rnacentral:rRNA from 1 species
GACGAACGCUGGCGGCGUGCUUAACGCAUGCAAGUCGAACGAAGAGCGAUGGAAGCUUGCUUCUAUCAAUCUUAGUGGCGAACGGGUGAGUAACGCGUAAUCAACCUGCCCUUCAGAGGGGGACAACAGUUGGAAACGACUGCUAAUACCGCAUACGAUCUAAUCUCGGCAUCGAGGAUAGAUGAAAGGUGGCUUCUACAUGUAAGCUAUCACUGAAGGAGGGGAUUGCGUCUGAUUAGCUAGUUGGAGGGGUAACGGCCCACCAAGGCGAUGAUCAGUAGCCGGUCUGAGAGGAUGAACGGCCACAUUGGGACUGAGACACGGCCCAGACUCCUACGGGAGGCAGCAGUGGGGAAUCUUCCGCAAUGGACGAAAGUCUGACGGAGCAACGCCGCGUGAGUGAUGACGGCCUUCGGGUUGUAAAGCUCUGUUAAUCGGGACGAAAGGCCUUCUUGCGAACAGUUAGA